rnacentral:rRNA from 1 species
GAGUUUGAUUCUGGCUCAGGAUGAACGUUGGCGGCGUGCUUAACACAUGCAAGUCGAACGGAGCACCUCGGAUCAAGUUUUCGGACGAGAGAAGAGACUGCUUAGUGGCGGACGGGUGAGUAACGCGUGAGGAACCUGCCUUGGAGAGGGGAAUAACACAAGGAAACUUGUGCUAAUACCGCAUGAAGCAUAGCUAUCGCAUGGUAACUAUGCCAAAGAUUUAUCGCUCUGAGAUGGCCUCGCAUCUGAUUAGCUAGUAGGUGGGGUAACGGCCUACCUAGGCGACGAUCAGUAGCCGGACUGAGAGGUUGACCGGCCACAUUGGGACUGAGACACGGCCCAGACUCCUACGGGAGGCAGCAGUGGGGAAUAUUGGGCAAUGGGCGCAAGCCUGACCCAGCAACGCCGCGUGAAGGAAGAAGGCUUUCGGGUUGUAAACUUCUUUUAUUCGGGACGAAAGAAAUGACGGUACUGAAU